rnacentral:lncRNA from 1 species
GUUUUUGUUCUUCGGUAUGUUUGUUUAAAGUUUCUUGACCUUAUGCUUUAAAAAUAAAUCUACAGGUGUCCUAUAUGGAAAGUAUACCAGUUGAAAACAUAAGUGGAUCUCAAGUAAUUCUUAGAAACUGAAAGCAUGUUGUUAAAGAUAAAUGUGCCUUGGAUUUUCUGCAGCAAACUAAAACUUUUUUAAUGCCUCGGAUUGUCCGAAAUCUAAAUGUUGUGGUUUUAGACUUUUGAUUCAUAGUACAUAUUU